GCGUCUUUGGCCGAGUGGUUAAGGCGGCAGACUCAAGGAUAUCUACUGGUGCAUUCUGCUUCACGUUUGUGAGCAUGGGUUCGAACCCCAUAGGACGCA